GCGUUUUCACGUUGUCACGUUGUCACGUUGUCGUUGUUGCGUUUGUUACGUUGUUGCCUUGUCACGUCGUUACGUUGGAUGCUGUGACGCUGCGUCGGCAGGCGGCAUGGAGAACCGCGUCUCAAAUGUUUCAGGUUAAAUGCAGAAGCAAUUAAAGAAUUAUAAGAUGGCUCAUCACCUGUUUCAGAAAAGAAGAGUGACUCACAAGCAAGUCCCCUGCAGGAGAGUCCACUAUGGGCAGCAGGUCAACAGGCUCCCCUUCCUCGUUCUCCCUCUCUCUCCUCGGUGGUCCCUCCAUCAUCUCCUCCAGAGUCCUGUCCAGCUCCUCACAUUCCUCCUCCACCUCCUCCACCUCAGACACUGCUGCCACCACUGGUCUCUGGAGGUGAGGAGGCAGAGGUGAGGUGAUCUGAACGUCUGCAGCACCCCCUCCCUGGUCAUUGGAUCGCUUCUUCUGCUUCUCCACCUUCUUCUUGA